rnacentral:rRNA from 1 species
AACGGGGAAAAGAAGGUUCAUUGGAUAGCAUGGAAGAAAAUGUGCAUGAGCAAGCAAGAUGGAGGAAUGGGUUUUAGGGAUAUGGAGGCUUUCAAUCAGGCUCUACUAGCAAAACAAGCAUGGAGGUUGCUGCACUCAUCGGCUUCACUUUGUGCCAAUGUGUUGAAGGCUAGAUACUACCCAAACGGAUCUAUUCUCAAUGCUACCUGCCCGAGUGGAGGUUCGUAUACGUUCAGAAGCAUUCUAUAUGGCAGGGAUCUGUUGAUGGAUGGACUGGUAUGGCGAGUGGGUGAUGGUACAAGUAUUCGUAUUCAUCAUGAUAAUUGGAUACCAAGACAAGGUCAUCUUCGGCCACUGGGCCAGGUGUAUGUUCAUGGAGUAACGAGAGUUUGCGAUCUGCUGAAUGAUGACGGAGACGCGUGGGAUCGCGCCAAGCUGGAUGUAAUGUUUUCCCCAGAUGAUGUGCAAGACAUACUCCAGAUCACCAUCGGAGGCCAUGGUAUGGCGGAUAUCCCCGCCUGGAACUUUACAAAUAAUGGGCAGUUCACUGUCCGUUCGGCCUAUCACCUCUGCAUGGAAAAGAGGCGAGCAAGAACCGGACAGCCGGGCUCUUCGUCGUCUGUUGCGAAGCACUAG